rnacentral:rRNA from 1 species
GGCCUAACACAUGCAAGUCGAACGAUGCUUUCGGGCAUAGUGGCGCACGGGUGCGUAACGCGUGGGAAUCUGCCCCUUGGUCUGGGAUAACCGUUGGAAACGACGGCUAAUACCGGAUGACGACGAGAGUCCAAAGAUUUAUCGCCGAGGGAUGAGCCCGCGUCAGAUUAGGUAGUUGGUGUGGUAAAGGCGCACCAAGCCGACGAUCUGUAGCUGGUCUGAGAGGAUGAUCAGCCACACUGGGACUGAGACACGGCCCAGACUCCUACGGGAGGCAGCAGUGGGGAAUAUUGGACAAUGGGCGAAAGCCUGAUCCAGCAAUGCCGCGUGAGUGAUGAAGACCUUAGGGUUGUAAAGCUCUUUUACCCGGGAUGAUAAUGACAGUACCGGGAGAAUAAGCUCCGGCUAACUCCGUGCCAGCAGCCGCGGUAAU